GACAGAGGUCCCGAGCGUUGUUCGGAUUCAUUGGGCGUAAAGGGUGUGUAGGAGGCCAGGUAAGUCAGGUGUGAAAUCUCAGAGCUUAACUCUGAAACUGCGCUUGAUACUGCUUGGCUAGAGGAUCGGAGGGGGUAUCGGAAUUUGAUGGUGUAGCAGUGAAAUGCGUAGAUAAUCAUAAGGAACACCGGUGGCGAAGGCGGAUACCUGGAAGAUUCCUGACUCUGAAACACGAAAGCCAGGGGAGCAAACGGG
rnacentral:rRNA from 1 species